rnacentral:rRNA from 1 species
UACGUAGGGUGCGAGCGUUGUCCGGAAUUACUGGGCGUAAAGAGCUCGUAGGCGGUUUGUCGCGUCUGCUGUGAAAACCUCAGGCUCAACCUGGGGCUUGCAGUGGGUACGGGCAGACUAGAGUGCGGUAGGGGUGACUGGAAUUCCUGGUGUAGCGGUGGAAUGCGCAGAUAUCAGGAGGAACACCGAUGGCGAAGGCAGGUCACUGGGCCGCAACUGACGCUGAGGAGCGAAAGCAUGGGGAGCGAACAGG